rnacentral:rRNA from 1 species
UACGUAGGGGGGCGAGCGUUUGUCCGGAUUCAUUGGGCGUAAAGCGCUUUAAGGCGGUUCGCUAAGUCGGGUGUGAAACCUCCAGGCUCAACCUGGAGACGCCACUCGAUACUGGCGUGACUAGAGUUCGGUAGGGGACCACGGAAUUCCUGGUGUAGCGGUGAAAUGCGCAGAUAUCAGGAGGAACACCAGUGGCGAAGGCGGUGGUCUGGGCCGAUACUGACGCUGUAGAGCGAAAGCGUGGGGAGCGAACAGG